UAGGGAAUCUUCGGCAAUGGGGGCAACCCUGACCGAGCAACGCCGCGUGAGUGAAGAAGGUUUUCGGAUCGUAAAGCUCUGUUGUAAGAGAAGAACGAGUGUGGGAGUGGAAAGUUCACACUGUGACGGUAACUUACCAGAAAGGGACGGCUAACUACGUGCCAGCAGCCGCGGUAAUACGUAGGUCCCGAGCGUUAUCCGGAUUUAUUGGGCGUAAAGCGAGCGCAGGCGGUUAGAUAAGUCUGAAGUUAAAGGCUGUGGCUUAACCAUAGUACGCUUUGGAAACUGUUUAACUUGAGUGCAGAAGGGGAGAGUGGAAUUCCAUGUGUAGCGGUGAAAUGCGUAGAUAUAUGGAGGAACACCGGUGGCGAAAGCGGCUCUCUGGUCUGUAACUGACGCUGAGGCUCGAAAGCGUGGGGAGCAAACAGGAUUAGAUACCCUGGUAGUCCACGCCGUAACGAUGAGUGCUAGGUGUUGGGUCCUUUCCGGGACUCAGUGCCGCAGCUAACGCAUUAAGCACUCCGCCUGGGGAGUACGACCGCAAGGUUG
rnacentral:rRNA from 1 species